UACGUAAUUUGCAAAUCGAUAUAAAUCUUUCUUUUUAAACUUUUAAUCUUAGUUUUAUAAACUCAGUAUUGAUUGCAUGUACAUAAUGCUGGUGCUGAACUAUCGUUUUGUCCAUAGGAGCUAUAAUUAAAGCAUACAGAAAAAUUUCUUAUUUAUUCACCAGAAUCUUUAAUUUUUAAAGAAUCUCUAAUUUAUUCACCAGUGCUUAUUAAUUACAAGCAAUAAAUCACACAUUAUUAGAAUAAUAAUAAAUUAGAUUUCUAUUUAUGCGUGGAAAAUUGCGCCGGGAAUUUCUGUGAUGCCACAUUUUUCUCGCAGCGGCAGCUGCAUCCUUCGCAACUCCGCAUUCAUUUAGGCGAAGUGCAGAGUCUCAAGCAAGAAGGAAGAGAUGCGCUACCACCCCUUUGCAGCGGAUACAAUACGUCAAGUUAGUAAUUUUCUCGGCAAAUUUGUAAAUUUUUUACUCGACUACGGUAACUCAAAAUGGAUUUUAUGGAAACGAUUAAAAUAUUAAUUAGCCACAGUAAGAGAUCUUUACUCAAGUGAGAACACGAGGACAAAAAGAAAAAAGAUGCACCUAAAACAAAUUUACAGAAAAAAUGCUACGCUAUGCUGCAAGACUGUCCCAUGAAUAGAUGAGGAGAAAUAGAAUUGAGGAGUUAGCAGAGCUUGCAACUUUCGUGCAACAUGAAUA